GUGGAGACAUAGAAAGUUUUAAGCUUUUUUCUAGUCUCUAGUCUCUAGUCUCUCGUCUCUAGCGGCGGACGGGUGAGUAACGCGUGGGUAACCAACCAUAUAGAGGGGGAUAACGGCUAGAAAUAGCCGCUAAUACCGCAUAGACCGAUGAUACCGCAUGGUAUAGUCGGUAAAGGAGCAAUCCGCUGUAUGACGGACCCGCGUCUGAUUAGCUAGUUGGUGGGGUAACGGCCUACCAAGGCAGCGAUCAGUAGCCGACCUGAGAGGGUGAUCGGCCACAUUGGGACUGAGACACGGCCCAAACUCCUACGGGAGGCAGCAGUGGGGAAUAUUGCACAAUGGGGGAAACCCUGAUGCAGCAACGCCGCGUGAAGGAAGAAGUAUUUCGGUACGUAAACUUCAGACGCUGAUGAAGAAAAAAAUGACGGUAAUCAGGCCGGAGCCCCGGCUAACUACGUGCCAGCAGCCGCGGUAAUACGUAGGGGGCAAGCGUUAUCCGGAAUUACUGGGCGUAAAGGGUGAGUAGGCGGUUUUAUAAGUCAUAUGUGAAAGCCCGGGGCUUAACCUCGGGAUUGCAUAAGAAACUGUAGGACUAGAGUAUGGGAGAGGUAAGCGGAAUUCCUAGUGUAGCGGUGAAAUGCGUAGAUAUUAGGAAGAACACCAGUGGCGAAG
rnacentral:rRNA from 1 species